AGCGAACGCUGGCGGCAGGCUUAACACAUGCAAGUCGAACGGGCACUUCGGUGUCAGUGGCAGACGGGUGAGUAACACGUGGGAACGUACCUUUUGGUUCGGAACAACUGAGGGAAACUUCAGCUAAUACCGGAUAAGCCCUUACGGGGAAAGAUUUAUCGCCGAAAGAUCGGCCCGCGUCUGAUUAGCUAGUUGGUAGGGUAAUGGCCUACCAAGGCGACGAUCAGUAGCUGGUCUGAGAGGAUGAUCAGCCACAUUGGGACUGAGACACGGCCCAAACUCCUACGGGAGGCAGCAGUGGGGAAUAUUGGACAAUGGGGGCAACCCUGAUCCAGCCAUGCCGCGUGAGUGAUGAAGGCCCCAGGGAUGUAAAGCUCUUUUGUGCGGGAAGAUAAUGACGGUACCGCAAGAAUAAGCCCCGGCUAACUUCGUGCCAGCCGCCGCCGUAA
rnacentral:rRNA from 1 species